AGAAAAAAUAAACAAGCAAUGGCCUCGUCUCGGAGCUUAGCUCUUGCGCUCCUCUUCGGCCUCCUCUCUUGCUACGCAUCCGUCGUCCCUUCCCUAGCUUCCUCCCACGGCUUCCUCCAAUGCCUCUCCGCAGCCAUACCCAAGCCUCUGCUGCACACCCAGAGCUCGCCAUCGUUUACGUCGGUCCUGGUGUCCUCCAUCCGGAACCCCAGGUUGUUCACGCCUAGCACGGUGCGGCCGCUCUGCAUCGUCACAGCGAUCAACGCCUCCCACGUCCAGGCCGCCGUUGUCUGCGGCCGCCGGCACGACGUGCGCAUCCGCGUGCGCAGCGGCGGGCACGACUACGAGGGCCUCUCGUUCCGGUCCGAGCGGCCCGAGGUGUUCGCGGUGGUCGACCUUGCCAACCUCCGCUCCGUGCGCGUCAAUGGGAAGGCGGCCACCGCGACGGUGGAGUCCGGCGCCACGGUCGGGGAGCUCUACUACGCCAUCUCCAAGGUGAGCGACAGGCUGGCCUUCCCGGCGGGGCUGUGCCCGACGAUCGGUCUGGGCGGCCAUCUCAGCGGCGGCGGGUUCGGCAUGCUGCUGCGCAAGUACGGCGUGGCCGCCGACCACGUGCUGGACGCCACGCUGGUCGACGCCAACGGGAAGCUCAUGGACAAGCAGGCCAUGGGGAGGGACGUCUUCUGGGCCCUCCGCGGCGGCGGCGGCGAGAGCUUCGGCAUCGUGCUGUCGUGGAAGGUGAAGCUCGUGGCCGUCCCGCCCAAGCUGACCAUGUUCCGCGUCCCGAGGUCCGUCGACGAGGGCGCCGUCGACAUGCUAACGAAAUGGCAAGAAAUCGCGCCGGCUCUCCCGGAAGACCUCUUCAUAAGGGUGGUCGUGUCGAAGCAGGUGGCCGAGUUCCAGUCCAUGUACCUGGGCACCUGCGACACGCUGCUGCCAUUGAUGCGCGGCCGCUUCCCAGAGCUCCGCCUGAACCGGGCGCACUGCAGGGAGAUGACGUGGAUCCAGUCCGUGCCAUACAUCUACCUGGACAGCACCGCCACCGUGGAGGACAUCCUCAACCGGACCACCUCCAUGGACACCUUCAACAAGGCCACCUCCGACUUCGUCCACCGGGCCAUCGCCAGGGACGUGUGGGUGAAGAUCUUCGCCUGGCUCGUCAAGCCCGACGCCGGGAUCAUGAUCAUGGACCCCUACGGCGGUCAGAUCGGCAGCCUCCCGGAGUCGGCGACGCCGUUCCCGCACCGUGCCGGCGUGCUCUACAACAUCCAGUACAUGAACUUCUGGUCCGCCGACACCGACGGGUCGGCGCAGACCAGGUGGCUCAAGGACUUCUACGCCUUCAUGGCGCCCUACGUGAGCAAGAACCCCAGGGAGGCGUACGUGAACUACAGGGACCUCGACCUCGGCAGGAACGUUGUUGUGGGCAACGUCACCAGCUACACGGCCGCUAAGGUUUGGGGCGACAAGUACUACAAGGGCAACUUCAAGAGGCUCGCCAUGGCCAAGGGCAAGGUGGAUCCUCACGACUACUUCAGGAACGAGCAGAGCAUCCCACCACUACACUAG
rnacentral:rRNA from 1 species